AUGCUAACAUCAGCAGCACAUAUACUAAAAUAGGAAUACAGAGAAGAUUAGCAUGGCCUCUGCAAAGAAUAACAUACACAUUUAUGAAGUGUUCCAUAUUUUU
rnacentral:snRNA from 1 species